rnacentral:lncRNA from 1 species
AUUGUGUUGAUAUGUGCUUAUGGAGGCUCGUUGUCAACAGUUCAGCUACAGCUGAAUUCGUUGGAGAAAAUGUGAAAGGGGCAUGCAGCCUACUGUCAACUAUUGUAUUGUAAAUCCUGGGAUCCACUGAAUGUGUCAUCCAAAUGACAGAAGAAAGCUAUGGGAGCAUAAUGAAGGCCAUGGGUAAUCUUCAUCAGGUUUAUUGCAGCAACUAGAGAGAAUUCACAUGAAAAGAUGCAGGGCACAUACCAUUAUGGGUCGAUAUCUGAAUGUUUUACUCAAGAAAUAGAUGUGACAUGACUGUUUAGUGUUUAAUGCCAAAGUUAAGUUGGAACUCUAACUUAAACACAGAUAACGCAUUGCUGCUGCCUUACAGCCACUGGCAGGAAAAUUAUUCUUUUAUUCAGAAAAUUGGAAAGCUGCUGAAGUAAUCCCCACUUGAUUCAUUUCGUGUCAGCUAGUGAAAGGCGUCACGAAUUCAAAUUUGGCUGCUGCGUGCUGUCUGCAAGCAAGCAAUCCAAUUGGCGGUCGCUAGGUGGCGCGAGUGUCUUCAGGGACCAAAGUCUGCCAUUUUGAUCCAUGACACAGCAGAAGUGGGAUGCCGGUGUGAAGUUUCGCAUGAUGAAAAUUUCAAUACCAAUUUGUCAAAUCAUCUAACUCGGACUUGAGUGCCUGUUCAUUUUGCCGAAAUGUCGUGCCUCGUGUGUCUUGCUGCCUGUAUCUGUACGUCUCGUCCCAUGCAAAAGCAAAAGUCCGCUGUUGGUUACCUUGUUGCAGCCUGAUGGUGUAAGAUGUGAUGAAGACUAAUUGAACUGUGGUUCCAGUGUUAUUCAGAAGUAGCUGGCGGUCUCCUGGAGUAGCCUGAAGUAGCCUGAAGUUGCCAGUGGUAUCCGGGUUGCUGACUUUAAAUAUUUUUCUCUGUUCUCAUUUGUGUAUUUUGCCCUGCCAGUCAUCCCGUGUUGCUGACUUGAAAUAUUUUUAUCCAUUUUUAUUUGUGGUUUUGCUCUGCCAGUGAGCAAAAUGGUUGAAUUGGUUUCAUCUGUUGUCUUUUUGUUUUACUUGGGCAGUAUACGAUUGUGGCAAACUGAUUCUAUGUCAGUUUUGAUACAGUCGACAACUGCUAGAUUAAAUUCCGGCUUUCUGCACCAACAAAAUAAUAACGGCACAUGUUAU